AGUAACCUGCCUUGGAGUGGGGAAUAACAGCUGGAAACAGCUGCUAAUACCGCAUAAUAUGUCUGAAUCGCAUGGUUCUGGACAUCAAAGAUUUAUCGCUCUGAGAUGGACUCGCGUCUGAUUAGCUGGUUGGGCGGGGUAACGGCCCCACCAAGGCGACGAUCAGUAGCCGGACUGAGAGGUUGGCCGGCCACAUUGGGACUGAGACACGGCCCAGACUCCUACGGAAGGCAGCAG
rnacentral:rRNA from 1 species